rnacentral:piRNA from 1 species
UAGAGUGAAACAGGCUGGGACCAUGCC